rnacentral:tRNA from 2 species
AGCUCAAUUGGCAGAGCAGCCGGCUGUUAACCGGCAGGUUACUGGUUCGAGUCCAGUC